GUUUUUUCCAGUCUUUGAAAAGCAUCCUUACCAAUCCCCUGUAUGUUAUAUUUCUGCUUUUGACAUUGUUACAAGUAAGCAGCUUUAUUGGUUCUUUUACUUACGUCUUUAAAUAUAUGGAGCAACAGUAUGGUCAGUCUGCAUCUCAUGCUAACUUUUUGUUGGGAAUCGUAACCAUUCCUACGGUUGCAACUGGAAUGUUUUUAGGAGGAUUUAUCAUUAAAAAAUUCAAAUUGCCUUUAGUUGGAAUUGCCAAAUUUUCAUUUCUUACUUCGAUGAUAUCCUUCUUGUUUCAACUUCUAUAUUUCCCUCUAAUCUGUGAAAGCAAAUCAGUUGCCGGCCUAACCUUGACCUAUGAUGGAAAUAAUUCAGUGGCAUCUCAUGUAGAUGUACCACUUUCUUAUUGCAACUCAGAGUGCAAUUGUGAUGAAAGUCAGUGGGAACCAGUCUGUGGGAACAAUGGAAUAACUUACCUGUCACCUUGUCUAGCAGGAUGCAAAUCCUCAAGUGGUAUUAAAAAGCAUACUGUGUUUUAUAACUGUAGUUGUGUGGAAGUAACUGGUCUCCAGAACAGAAAUUAUUCAGCGCACUUGGGUGAAUGCCCAAGAGAUAAUACUUGUACAAGGAAAUUUUUCAUCUAUGUUGCAAUUCAAAUCAUAAACUCUUUGUUCUCUGCAACAGGAGGUACCACAUUUAUCUUGUUGACUGUGAAUGGGCUUCAAAUAUUUUAAUACUGCAGCACCAAAUUCUUAGCUCUGACCACAGUGAGUACUGCUUCCCUGGUGUAUCUCUACACACUGGAUGAGAUGAUGAUAAAGCCUAGGGAUUGGGGAGCCACCAGUUGGAAAAAGACAAGAUCUCGGAAUGACUGCAUGGAGGAGAGCUGCCCACUUGCCCAGGAACUUUUAUGAGAGCAAGAAACCAACUUCUGUCUCACAAGAACCUUACAAUGUAGGAUGUUUUUAAUCUUUA
rnacentral:lncRNA from 1 species